CAGCCACAUCAUGUUGUAACACUAGAAUCCGUACGAUCACCGAAGUUCAGCAACAUCGAGCCUGGUCAGUACCUCGAUGGGUGACAGCUUGGGAAUUCUAGGUGUUAUA